GCCGGGUGCAGCGGUGCCCACCCAUAAUCCCAGCGACGUGGGAGGCUGAGGCAGGAGGAUCGCAAGUUCAAAGCCAGCCUCAAGAACUUAGCAAGCCCCUAAGCAACUCAGCAAGACCCUGUCUCUA
rnacentral:sRNA from 1 species